rnacentral:rRNA from 1 species
CCUACGGGAGGCAGCAGUGAGGAAUAUUGGUCAAUGGGCGGAAGCCUGAACCAGCCAAGUAGCGUGCAGGAUGACGGCCCUACGGGUUGUAAACUGCUUUUAUACGGGAAUAACGCGCCUUACGUGUAGCGCUUUGAAUGUACCGUAUGAAUAAGGACCGGCUAAUUCCGUGCCAGCAGCCGCGGUAAUACGGAGGAUCCGGGCGUUAUCCGGAUUUAUUGGGUUUAAAGGGAGCGUAGGCGGCAUGUCAAGUGAGCUGUGAAAUCCCGGGGCUCAACUCGGGCCUUGCCUCGCAUACUGGCGUGCUAGAGUCUAGGUGCGGUAGGCGGAAUGUGUGGUGUAGCGGUGAAAUGCAUAGAUAUGACAAAGAACACCGAUUGCGAAGGCAGCUUACUGAA